rfam:Pteropus alecto contig71306, whole genome shotgun sequence.
AUUUUAGUAUAAAUAUGUCCCAUGCAAUAUUUGGGACAUAUUUAUACAAAAA